rnacentral:tRNA from 1 species
GGUGUUGUGGCUUGAUGGUAAAGCUGCCGCCUGCAGCGCGGCAUCCCAUACGGGCACCGGUUCGAGUCCUGGCUGCUCCA